rnacentral:rRNA from 1 species
UACGUAGGCAGCAAGCGUUGUUCGGAGUUACUGGGCGUAAAGAGCUCGUAGGCGGUCUGUUACGUCUGCUGUGAAAACCCAGGGCUUAACCCUGGGCUUGCAGUGGAUACGGGCAGACUAGAGGCAGGUAGGGGAGAAUGGAAUUCCCGGUGUAGCGGUGAAAUGCGCAGAUAUCGGGAGGAACACCGGUGGCGAAGGCGGUUCUCUGGGCCUGACCUGACGCUGAGGAGCGAAAGCGUGGGGAGCGAACAGG